rnacentral:lncRNA from 10 species
CUCCCAAACUGCUGAGAUUACUGGCAUGAGCCACCGCAUGCAGUCUUCUUACAGAUCAGCCAGCUCACAAAGAACAUUAGCUGCAGGAUGUUCUACCUCCAGUAACUUCAGGAUGGUUGCACCAUCAUUAGUAAUGGUUACAUCACCAGUAUCAUCCACCAACAUUUUAUCCAAGACAACGGACCAAGAGCACUUUUUACAAUAUUGGCAAUCGAAGCUGCAGCCAUAAUGUUCUGGGAGCGGAUCGCCUCCCCACUGCUGCGGUCU